GACGAACCGUGCGAACGUUGUUCGGAAUCACUGGGCUUAAAGGGCGCGUAGGCGGGCUGACAAGUCUGGGGUGAAAUGCCGGGGCUCAACCCCGGGACUGCGUCCGAUACUUCCGAGCUGGAGGUAGGUAGGGGAGAUCGGAAUUCCUGGUGUAGCGGUGAAAUGCGCAGAUAUCAGGAGGAACACCGGUGGCGAAGGCGGAUCUCUGGGCCUUACCUGACGCUGAGGCGCGAAAGCUAGGGGAGCGAACAGG
rnacentral:rRNA from 1 species